GGGUAGAGUCGCUGGCUCUAGUGGGGUUGCCCCCACCUUCUGCCUAGUGACGUCAUGACCCCGCGGUGGGGGGUGCGAACCGCGCAGCUUCUCAGCGCAGGAGAGGGGUCUUCAUUCGUGUCUUGUGCGCUGGCGUGAUAAGAUUUGUUUGGUACCGCGCGACUAAAUAGAACACUGAUGAAAUUUGAGCGGCAAUUUUCUGCUAUCGACGCCAUGAUGCUUGUCUUAAAUUCAAACGAGAUCUCAUCGAGAAUGAACAUUGAUGAAACUUGAGCUCCAACUCCGUGACGCCGACGCCAUGAUGCUUGUUGCCAAUUCAAUCGAAAUCUCAUCGAAAGCGGUAAAGUUUGAAACUUAUUCAAGUAAGAUGGUAACA